AAAUUUGUCGAAAAGUAGAGACUCCAUUGGGCUUCUUAUUAACGAGAGAGGCCUUAGGCUUCUUCGUUUUGUAAACCCUAGGCUUCUUUGUUUGAAACCCUUGAUUCUGUUCAAAGAACUUGAUCUCAGCAACAACAGAUUUACAUUUUGAUAUUCUCUGUCCAUACACAGAUUAAAGAAAACGAAAAAAAAAAACAAUAGUUGGAGUCUUGUCCACGAAACUCACACAACUUGUUUGAAAGUGCAUAAACG
rnacentral:lncRNA from 1 species